rnacentral:rRNA from 1 species
UACGUAGGGAGCAAGCGUUGUCCGGAAUCAUUGGGCGUAAAGCGCGCGUAGGCGGCCUCGUAAGUCCGUUGUGAAAGUCAAAGGCUCAACCUUUGAAAGCCGAUGGAUACUGUGAGGCUAGAGUCCGGAAGAGGCGAGUGGAAUUCCUGGUGUAGCGGUGGAAUGCGCAGAUAUCAGGAGGAACACCAAUAGCGAAGGCAGCUCGCUGGGACGGUACUGACGCUAAGGCGCGAAAGCGUGGGGAGCAAACAGG